ensembl:lincRNA
AUUUAUUUACGAAUAAAUAGGUUGUAUCAACUAACAGUAAAACAGCUGGAACAAUAAAAGUGAAAAUUAAUGUCUUUGCAUAUGAUUUCUUGUCCCAGUUGGUGUUUUCAUGUGUCCUGGGUUUGUAUUUCAGAUUGGACUGUUUUGGAUGGUAAAAGUCCAGCUGGUAGACAGUCCUGUAAGGGGAAAGAAAGAGCAAAGACAGUUCUCUGCAGCCAAUUCAGAAAUGGGCACCCUGUGCUACUCAGAAUUUUGGUAGGAAGAUGCCAGCCUGUGAAGACAAUGCUUCUUCAAUUUAACUGACUAAGGUUUUCCUGCAGAAGAGGUUCAAAACAUAUGACUGAUGCAGAAACAAGAGCUGGCUCAGAUGACACACAGAGGAAGAACCAAACAGCAUCGACAGCCUCC